ACUUGAACGUUAUCUUUUCUAUGUCCAAGUUGGUGGUAUUGUCCAGUGGGCCAUCAGAGCUUCUUGUAAAUGUAGCCACCAGUGCCACUCUUCAAAAAAAAAAAUCUUACCACCUUAAGCUCCGUCGUUCCAUACCUUUUAGCACCAGACUUUACUAUGCUAAGCCUUGAAACAACAAUCCACUAAAGCUCCGGCAUCAAGUGCUCGUUGCACAAGUUAAGAGUCUAUCUAAGAGCUCCAUUGAGGCUGAUGGCUCAUCUAAAUUGUUCAAUAUGGAAUGGUUCAAUGCAUUAUCCACGAAAUAAAAGUCUACUCCCU
rnacentral:lncRNA from 1 species